AGGCUUAACACAUGCAAGUCGAGGGGCAGCAUAGUAGGUAGCAAUACUUAUUGGUGGCGACCGGCGCACGGGUGAGUAACGCGUAUGCAACUUACCUAUCAGAGGGGGAUAACCCGGCGAAAGUCGGACUAAUACCGCAUGAAGCAGGGGCCCCGCAUGGGGAUAUUUGCUAAAGAUUCAUCGCUGAUAGAUAGGCAUGCGUUCCAUUAGGCAGUUGGCGGGGUAACGGCCCACCAAACCGACGAUGGAUAGGGGUUCUGAGAGGAAGGUCCCCCACAUUGGUACUGAGACACGGACCAAACUCCUACGGGAGGCAGCAGUGAGGAAUAUUGGUCAAUGGCCGAGAGGCUGAACCAGCCAAGUCGCGUGAAGGAUGAAGGAUCUAUGGUUUGUAAACUUCUUUUAUAGGGGAAUAAAGUGUGGAACGUGUUCCAUUUUGUAUGUACCCUAUGAAUAAGCAUCGGCUAACUCCGUGCCAGCAGCCGCGGUAAUACGGAGGAUGCGAGCGUUAUCCGGAUUUAUUGGGUUUAAAGGGUGCGUAGGUGGUAAUUUAAGUCAGCGGUGAAAGUUUGUGGCUCAACCAUAAAAUUGCCGUUGAAACUGGGUUACUUGAGUGUGUUUGAGGUAGGCGGAAUGCGUGGUGUAGCGGUGAAAUGCAUAGAUAUCACGCAGAACUCCGAUUGCGAAGGCAGCUUACUAAACCAUAACUGACACUGAAGCACGAAAGCGUGGGGAUCAAACAGGAUUAGAUACCCUGGUAGUCCACGCAGUAAACGAUGAUUACUAGGAGUUUGCGAUACACAGUAAGCUCUACAGCGAAAGCGUUAAGUAAUCCACCUGGGGAGUACGCCGGCAACGGUGAAACUCAAAGGAAUUGACGGGGGCCCGCACAAGCGGAGGAACAUGUGGUUUAA
rnacentral:rRNA from 1 species